rnacentral:rRNA from 1 species
GUUGUCGUCAGCUCGUGUCGUGAGAUGUUGGGUUAAGUCCCGCAACGAGCGCAACCCUUGAACUUAGUUGCCAUCAUUCAGUUGGGCACUCUAAGUUGACUGCCGGUGACAAACCGGAGGAAGGUGGGGAUGACGUCAAAUCAUCAUGCCCCUUAUGAUUUGGGCUACACACGUGCUACAAUGGACAAUACAAAGGGCAGCGAAACCGCGAGGUCAAGCAAAUCCCAUAAAGUUGUUCUCAGUUCGGAUUGUAGUCUGCAACUCGACUACAUGAAGCUGGAAUCGCUAGUAAUCGUAGAUCAGCAUGCUACGGUGAAUACGUUCCCGGGUCUUGUACACACCGCCCGUCACACCACGAGAGUUUGUAACACCCGAAGCCGGUGGAGUAACCA